ACUUCCGGCAAAGCCAUCCUUGGCGUUUCUUAAGCUCUUGACGGGCCGUUUUCUGUCGGCCUUGGGGACCCGAACACUGGGUUGGGGCCGCUUUCCAGGCGCCUUUUCGGGACCGAGCCGAGGUGGACAGCGAGGAGGGUGGGACCGGCCUCCGGGCUCUGCAAUGUCCUGUUAAGAGGUGUCCUCCGUCUCCACGGCCCCAGGGGGCGGCCUUUACACGGUAUGCAUACCAUCACCCACAUGGACACCAUCGUCAAAGCGUCUCAGCUGCCUGACAGAAAGGGCACAGUCACUCCAGGCUGCCAGUCUCUCCCACUCCAUUUCCUCGCACCCAGUGUUUCUUUACCACUUAAUAUACCCACCUGGCUCUUGCAUGAAUACAAGGAGGUGACCCUGCCUCACAGGAUCGGGGGUCCAGAGGGCACAUCUCCCAGCCUGGCAGAUGAGCUUCCUGUCAUCAUUGCUGUGAUGUGAUGUGAAACAUCCUUUACAACAAGAAAAGGCAACCUCUUCUCCUGGAUCAGCAUGAAGGUUUCAGAGCCCCUCUCACUUCCCCAGAUGCACUCUUGGCAUCCAAAUAAAAAGAUUUAGAACACA